rnacentral:rRNA from 1 species
CACGUAGGCACCAAGCGUUGUCCGGAUUUAUUGGGCGUAAAGAGCUCGUAGGCGGUUCAGUAAGUCGGGUGUGAAAACUCUGGGCUUAACCCAGAGACGCCACCCGAUACUGCUGUGACUUGAGUACGGUAGGGGGGCAGGGAAUUCCUGGUGUAGCGGUGAAAUGCGCAGAUAUCAGGAGGAACACCGGUGGCGAAGGCGGGUCUCUGGGCCGAUACUGACGCUGAGGAGCGAAAGCGUGGGGAGCAAACAGG